AGCGAACGCUGGCGGCAGGCUUAACACAUGCAAGUCGAGCGCCGUAGCAAUACGGCGCGGCAGACGGGUGAGUAACGCGCGGGGACGUGCCUUCUGGUUCGGAAUAACCCAGGGAAACUUGAGCUAAUACCGGAUAAGCCCUUCGGGGGAAAGGUUUAUCGCCGGAAGAUCGGCCCGGGUUAGAUUUGCUAGUUGGGGAGGUAACGGCCCACCAAGGCCACGAUCUUUAGCUUGUCUGGGAGGAUGAACAGCCACACUGGGACUGAGACACGGCCCAGACUCCUACGGGAGGCAGCAGUGGGGAAUAUUGGACAAUGGGCGCAAGCCUGAUCCAGCCAUGCCGCGUGAGUGAUGAAGGCCUUAGGGCUGUAAAGCUCUUUUAGCAGGGACGAUAAUGACGGUACCUGCAGAAAAAGCCCCGGCCAACUUCGUGCCAGCAGCCGCCGUAA
rnacentral:rRNA from 1 species